rnacentral:miRNA from 1 species
UUUGCCUAAGUAAGGACUUCA